ensembl:lncRNA
CUCUUGACUGCUCUUUGCUCAGUGGAGAAGAAAGCAGAGGGACAACUUCCUACCCACCUGCUCAGAGCUGCAAAACACAACCCUGCCUGUGGGAUCCAGGCAAUGUGGCCAGGUCUAACACACAGUACUGGGGCUGCUUGGUUUUUUUUUGGCUUAGCUAUGAGGCAUCUUGGUAACCUGCAGCCAUCCUUGCCCAGUAUGACUCAAUCCCUUGGUGUGAACAGGCUCUGAUGUAGAGAGCCAUUUCAGACUCCAGAAAGGAGAAUUUAAAGCAGUCUCCCACCUCAGCUCUUUCCAGUGUCACUUCACUGCUGCCAUCCUGACAGCAGCUAAGCAAGUCAAAGCACCUGAGCACCCAGAAGAGGCUGAAAGGAGGAGAAAAUUUCAGGCUGUAAUUUCCCAAGCCUUCUUAUUCCUCUGCCGCUACUGAACCUCUGCUAACCUCUGCAAUCUUCUGCCAUCAAUGUGCUCCAUGAGGACACAGACUUGUUAGCCAGUGAACUGGUGCGGUUGUGAAAAGCCAGGACUGCCAUGAACAUGAAAAAAAGUCAGCUCAGACAGACUUUGUGAAAGUUCCACUUCAGAUUGGUCUGCAUCAUCCUUCACAUUAGUACAUGGAACCUUACCAUCGGAUCUGAACUUGCUCCACAAGCAUUUGAAGAAGAAUACCACGCUCCAAGCACCUAAGGAUGCCAGCCCCCUGUACUGGACAGCUCUCAAGGGAGUCCAUAUAUACACACACCCACAGGAUCUUCAUAUUUGGAAUGCAUUCAAUAUUUUGGAAAAAAGCAAAAAAAAAUACAUACAAAUAUAUAUUGAGAUUUUGUAACAAACAUAUAGAGUAUAUUUGAAAUUUAUGUACUGAAAUACAGACACA